CGGGGUGUAGCGCAGACGGCUAGCGCGCCGCGUUUGGGACGCGGAGGUCGGCGGUUCAAGUCCGCCCACCCCGA
rnacentral:tRNA from 2 species